UACGUAGGUGGCAAGCGUUGUCCGGAAUUACUGGGCGUAAAGGGCUCGUAGGCGGCCAACUAAGUCGGAUGUGAAAUCCCCAGGCUUAACCUGGGAACUGCAUCCGAUACUGGAUGGCUUGAAUCCGGGAGAGGGAUGCAGAAUUCCAGGUGUAGCGGUGAAAUGCGUAGAUAUCUGGAGGAAUACCGGUGGCGAAGGCGGCAUCCUGGACCGGCAUUGACGCUGAUGAGCGAAAGCUAGGGGAGCAAACGGG
rnacentral:rRNA from 1 species